AUUGAACGCUGGCGGCAGGCCUAACACAUGCAAGUCGAGCGAGGGGCGGACGGGUGAGUAAUGUAUGGGGACUGCCCGUUAGGGGGGGAUACCUACUGGAAACGGUAGCUAAUACCGCAUACUAUCGGAUAACCCAUAUGGGAUUAGCUAGUGGGUGAGGUAAUGGCUUACCUAGGCGACGAUCCCUAGCUGGUCUGAGAGGAUGAUCAGCCACACUGGAACUGAGACACGGCCCAGACUCCUACGGAGGCAGCAGUGGGGAAUAUUGCACAAUGGGCGCAAGCCUGAUGCAGCCAUGCCGCGUGUAUGAAGAAGGCCCUAGGGUUGUAAAGUACUUUCAGUCGGGAGGCGUUACCGACAGAAGAAGCACCGGCUAACUCCGUGCCAGCCGCCGCGGUAAUAC
rnacentral:rRNA from 1 species